CAGGAUGAACGCUGGCGGCGUGCCUAAUACAUGCAAGUCGAGCGAACAGACGAGGAGCUUGCUCCUCUGACGUUAGCGGCGGACGGGUGAGUAACACGUGGAUAACCUACCUAUAAGACUGGGAUAACUUCGGGAAACCGGAGCUAAUACCGGAUAACAUGUUGAACCGCAUGGUUCAACAGUGAAAGACGGUCUUGCUGUCACUUAUAGAUGGAUCCGCGCCGCAUUAGCUAGUUGGUAAGGUAACGGCUUACCAAGGCAACGAUGCGUAGCCGACCUGAGAGGGUGAUCGGCCACACUGGAACUGAGACACGGUCCAGACUCCUACGGGAGGCAGCAGUAGGGAAUCUUCCGCAAUGGGCGAAAGCCUGACGGAGCAACGCCGCGUGAGUGAAGAAGGUCUUCGGAUCGUAAAACUCUGUUAUUAGGGAAGAACAGAAUGUGUAAGUAACUAUGCACGUCUUGACGGUACCUAAUCAGAAAGCCACGGCUAACUACGUGCCAGC
rnacentral:rRNA from 1 species